rnacentral:tRNA from 1 species
CGCUGGAUUCGAUAUGAAAUCGCCCCGGACUCGCUCAUAAUCCGGAGGUCGUAGGUUCAAAUCCUGCCCCCGCGACCA